UGUACACGCUGUGACUAGCAUAUCAAUAAGCGGAGGAAAAGAAACUAACAAGGAUUCCCCUAGUAACGGCGAGUGAAGCGGGAAGAGCUCAAAUUUGAAAUCUUAAAUGGGUUUCUCCUUUACGAAUUGUAGUUUAAAGAAGUGUUUUCUGUUGAGGUUUUGGUAAAAGUUCUUUGGAAUAGGACAUCAUAGAGGGUGAGAAUCCCGUAUUUGACCUUUACUUUCAACUUUGUGAUACACUUUCAAAGAGUCGGAUUGUUUGGGAAUGCAGUCCAAAAUGGGUGGUAAAUUUCAUCUAAAGCUAAAUAUUGGCGAGAGACCGAUAGCGAACAAGUACCGUGAGGGAAAGAUGAAAAGAACUUUGAAAAGAGAGUUAAACAGUACGUGAAAUUGUCAAAAGGGAAGCGUUUGACACCAGUGUUGUUUUUCUGAAAAUCAAUUAAAGAACUGUUUAUGCUAAGCUUGUUUAGACUUUAUCAGCUAUCUGUUAGUUUUGAGCUUUUCUUUAAUGCACUUUUCAGUUAACAAGUCAACAUCAAUUUCUUUUGCUGUAAAAAAGCUUGAGGAAGGUGGCUUGAGAUUCGUCUUAAGUGUUUAUAGCCUCUUGCCUAUGCAGUCGGAGAGAUUGAGGUCUGCAGCGUAGAUCCUUCGGGGCUAAAUGCAUUUGUGCUAAGUUAUAGCAUUUUAUAGACAACUUGUUGACUAUGAUUUGUCUUGUAGCUUACUCGCUUAUGUUAUUUUACCUACGCUUAGGAUGUUGAAGAUGUAGCACAUCAU
rnacentral:rRNA from 1 species